rnacentral:rRNA from 1 species
UGCAACGCGAAGAACCUUACCAAGGCUUGACAUGUUCUCGAUCGCCGUAGAGAUACGGUUUCCCCUUUGGGGCGGGAUCACAGGUGGUGCAUGGUUGUCGUCAGCUCGUGUCGUGAGAUGUUGGGUUAAGUCCCGCAACGAGCGCAACCCUCGUUCCAUGUUGCCAGCACGUAAUGGUGGGGACUCAUGGGAGACUGCCGGGGUCAACUCGGAGGAAGGUGGGGACGACGUCAAAUCAUCAUGCCCCUUAUGUCUUGGGCUUCACGCAUGCUACAAUGGCCGGUACAAUGGGUUGCGAUACUGUGAGGUGGAGCUAAUCCCAAAAAGCCGGUCUCAGUUCGGAUUGGGGUCUGCAACUCGACCCCAUGAAGUCGGAGUCGCUAGUANUCGCAGAUCAGCAACGCUGCGGUGAAUACGUUCCCGGGCCUUGCACACACCG